rnacentral:rRNA from 1 species
UACGUAGGGGCAAGCGUUGUCCGGAAUCAUUGGGCGUAAAGCGCGUGUAGGCGGUCCGGAAAGUCUGGUGUGAAAUCUUGGGGCUCAACCCUAAGCGGUCACUGGAAACUAUCGGACUUGAGUCUGGAAGAGGAGUGUGGAAUUCCUGGUGUAGCGGUGGAAUGCGCAGAUAUCAGGAGGAACACCGAUGGCGAAGGCAGCACUCUGGUACAUGACUGACGCUGAGACGCGAAAGCGUGGGUAGCAAACAGG